GGAGGGUAUAGCUCAGUGGCAAAGCGUGUGCUCAGGAUGCACAAGGUCCUGGGUUCAAUCCCCAGUCCCUCCA